CUGCCUCCCUUAACAAUCCAAUGUAGGAAACAGCUCUAUAUCUGCACCUGGAAGAGAGGGGGAGCUAGCAGGCCAGUGCUGGGAUCAGAGUAGUCCCCAGCAGCUACUCCAGCAAAGGAAGAUGAGGCUCUCUGGAUCAGGGCCAUGGGAAUGCCAGAAAGGCUCCAAUGCUAUACGAGAUCCACACCCUUCUACUGCUUGCCAAGGACACAGUUCGUGGUAAAGCACCUUAAAAGGAGGUCCGGAUUCUUCAGCCCUGAUGAAUGGAAAAAGAGAUGAAAAGUAGCAAUGAGAGACUGAUUCUGAACACAGCAGAAUUGAGAGAGUUUUGACUGGACCCAGUGGUACACCCGACUUCUACAGUUUGUGAAUCAUUUCCUGCAACUACUUUGUGAACAGUGAAUGAAGAGAAAGAGAGUACGUAUGCCAGUUGAAAAAGCAAAGAUGAAAGUACAUCAUCUGCCCCAGAUCAAUUUCAGUAAUUAUUUAGAAAUUAUUUCACAAACUCAAUUGCAAAGUGAACACAGGCUCUCAUACAGAAAUCCUGUCAAUCGUAGAAUUUCACAAAUGUACAUAUAUGUACAUCCAUCCAACGAAGCAAUGGAUUCAUGCCACUAAGGAAUUGAAUAUUAAUGAAGUCAUUUGAUACACUGAAUUGAAAGCAAUUAUCCAUUUCCAUCUGAUUCAUCUUGCUGCUACCAGGAAUAAUAUCCAUGUUCAACAAUGUUCAUCUACAAAACCACAAAUAGAAAAUUAGAAAGUUUUCAACACAUUCCAAAACUAUUAUCUGGUAUCAGUACAAGAGUUGGUAAAAUGUAUAAGCAGUAUGUGCCAAUUUCUUAUUAAAAUAUUUGACGUGACUUGUUUACCAAUGAGGCAGAAACUAAGGGGUUUGACAGGUAUUUAAAAACAGAAAGGAAUGCAAACAUUCUUAUUUACCUUGUCUUUCCAAUAACAUAGAAGAUUUUUAAUAUCAAGAUACUAUGAUUGUAACAGAAUAUACUUCUACAUAACUCCAGAAAUCUUAGCAUGCAAUUCAGUUUGUUAAGACUAUUUUUUCUACUUGUCUUUAACUAUAUUCUGAUGUUAGAGAGGUUUUUUUUUAGCAACAUCUGCUUGUUUAUUUCCAUGUUUAAAAUUGUAAACUGUUUUUUGUUCCUUGGCAGAAAGCAGUAUAGAAAUGUACAAAAUAAAGAAAUUUAAUACCACCA